UGCUCCGCCAUAGCAACGGGAGUGUUGGGGCGUUGCUAAGGAGGCCAGAGGAGGCGGCGCGGGGAUGGCAGCGGCCAGCGUGGCCCUCGCAGUGAAAAGCAAGUGAAUUUCUUAGCAACACUCAGAAGAUGAGCACUACUCAGCACUAGAGUUUCAUGAAACUACAAAAAAGGGGACUUUGCACAAUGGCAGGGAAGGAUCAUCAUUGUUUAAAGAAGGUAGAGAUGACUUGGAAGAAAGUCUGCAGAAACUUAAAGUUCAGGUGGACAGCUUAGCCUCAAGUCUGAGUUUUGACAUAGAUCAAAAGGAUGGCACAGAUUCUGACACUACAAGCAGCUCAAGCACUUUUACAUCUAAAUGGCUACAAAUUUAUAAUGCAACCUAUGUGGAGACAGGUCUGGGGAAUACACCUAAGCAGCCUGCAGAGUCAGAGUGGUUUCUAAAGCCAAGGCAUCUAGUCAAAUCUUUAGGCAAUUAUCCAGCACUAACAAAUCUAAGUAUUCCAGAGUUCGCUGUCUCUGCAGUCAAUCAUGUGGCUGGGCUCCUGGGAAAUGAAGCCGCAAGCAAAAAUGAUUUGCUCUCGGAGGAUCUGGCAAAUUCCAACUCAUUUCCUGUAAAGCUUGGAGCUCCGCAUGUAAUUGGAGUCAAGUCUCUCUUACACCCAAAAGUCCCAGUGAGAGCUUGCUCUCAUGAAAGGAUCAGUUCUUUUUUAGACCAAGGUAGCUCUCUGCUUGCUGAACAUGCAGGGAAUUACCGAUCCCGCUCAUUUUCGCCUGCUUCCAAAAAAAGCUGCUGGCUAAGAUCUCCCUCGCAAUCUCCCAAGUCCAUUUGGAGGCCAAAUACUGCAAAGGCAAAUGCUUGUGCCCAGCCUCUGCCAAACUUCGGCAGAUUCAGCUGCAGCAGAAAGACAACAGCAUCAACCAGACGGUCACGAUCUAGAACACAAAAACUUGGGUCCUUGGCUGCCAGAUCCCAUACUCCAACUAGGAUGAAUGCAGGAGGAACAUUGAGUUCUUCAUGGAGCCAUUACAAUCUGCUGUCUGCUACUAUGUCCUCACCAGCAGCUCAGGAUGUUAAUGAAAGGUAUGAGAUGAGAAGUUCCCAGUUCCAUUAAGAAGUCCACAAGAAAAAUGAGUUGCUGAGAGGCAGCCAAGACUUGCAGUCUGUGUGUAACUACAGAUAGGAACUGAAAUCAGCAUCCAAGAAACUCCAAGAGCAUUAGAAAGCCACCCAGCUGGAUUCUCUAAUUAAACAACAGAUUUAUGAAGGAAAUUUUAUUAACUUCUAGUGGAAGAAGACACCAUCAGAGAUUUCAGCCUCAUAAUGCAGAAAGGCUCAUGUACUAUGCUUUUUAUUCCCUGAAAGCUUCAGAAAAAAAAAAUCAAACCCAAUAAGCCAAAUGGGCCAAAUCCAUCAUUGAAACACCCUUUGGAUUCUUUUGCCAAAGGUGGACCUUGUUAUCAAACUAGCAGACUAAUUUAUUCGUUUACUUUUCUGCUAAGGACAGGGAAAAAAAGAAAAUCAGUGUGCUUGUGCUUUAUACAGAAAUGUGUUUCACUUUGUAAAAAUGAUUCCUACUCAAAUUUCUUGUAACGUGAAAAAAAAAAGAGUAGGGACAAGAGGAAAAUUAACUAUAGUAGCUAUAUAAAGAGUCAGAAACAUACGUAAAGCUUGUGUAUAAAAUCCUGCAGCCUGAAAUGAUAUAAUUUUAGAAUGCAGCCUUGAUCAGUUCCAAUAUUCAAAAGCAGGCCAGCGGCAGUCAUUCAGGUAUCUUUUUCCCUUUAAACAUUCUUAUUUCCUCCAAAACGUUGACUUGACUAAGCCUCUGAAAAAGUGUCUGGCCGCUCACCCACCCACACUACUGCCUUGAGAGACUAAUGUAUCCUAAUUGUGGUUGUACUUCAACAUCUCAGUAAGUCUGGGAUUAUGCAGGGAAAGGCUGCAAGCCAGAUGCAUCUAUGAGCAAAUUUGUUCCAAGGGAGUACAAUCUAGAAAAAUUUGGGAACUGGGAGAAAUAUGCUAACUGUUCCCUGCCGAAAACCAUUAGGUGUCUAGGUAAUAGACAAGCUGGAUAAGAUAGCUUCAGUCCAGUUCCUGAGGGAUCAGGACCUACCUGGAAGGUAAUGUUCAGAAAACCCACAAUAUCUUGAUAUAGGAAGGCAUAGGAAUUUUGCAUUGCCAAAGAAUGUGGAAACUGACACACUGAUCGCACUAGCAGUUCCAUGUAAUCAAUUCUUUAAUAUUAAUAUUUAAUAUCUUUAAUAUUAAUAUUUAAGACUCUGUCAUCUUUAAUAUUAGUGAUUAAUUAUUUAAUAAUAGCCCAUACCACAUGCAUCAGAAAGUGCAAGGACCAUAUAGAAAACUUGGGAAUAGCUCACCCACAGACGAAGUUCCUUAUAGCCCUCAUAGGCAGAAUUCAGCUCUUGCUGGGAGCCCUAAUAUUUUGUGCUCUCAUCCUACAAAGGUGUGUGGAUGUCACACCCACUAAUUCAGUGCAGAUAAGAUGCCUAAAUAGCUUUAGAAAUCAUUAGGCUUUAGUUUAAAAAAAGUUCAGUUUAACUUACUUGUCUACCUUAGAGUGGCCACAUUUUUAUGUUUGAGUACUAUCAGUUCAACCAAGAUUUAAGGGACAUGUACUUUUUUGCUCCUUAUAAAACAAUAUUUAUUUCUCACUAAAGCUGAGAUAUUAUUAAGGCUGGACUGAUGUAUUUCUGAUUUUCUUUCGGUAAAGCUUCAUGUGAAUUAAGAUUGUGAAGUCAUGGAUGGAAUGCUUAUUUUUCAUUCAUUUAAAAUUGAGAUGAAUACCAGCUUUUCAACUCAUACCUCUCCUUAGUUAUACUUAAAAGAUUUGUCCCUACAGCUAUCAAGAACAAAGUAAUCAUUCCAACUCAAUAACUCAUAUUGUAUAUUUAAUGGGGUGUUUUCAAAAGGAUGCAUUACAAUGUGGAAGAGGAGGGAAUGUUAAGGAUUUAGUAAACUAUGCAGGGAGUUUUGCAAAAUUAAAUAAUCUCUGUCCUAUAGCAAGAUGAACAAGAUGAUCUUGAGAUCAUGGGAGAUUCCAGAGGCUGUAUCUUUCUCUCAGCAGAGUCUCCAGAUUGAUCAGGCUCCAAGCCACAUUCCAAAAGAGAACAUAAAUCAUAUGAAAUCUCCUUAUUUAGUUAAUGGGUGACUCACCUCCCUCCCAUCCCAUCUGCCUGCACAAGGAGACAGCACAAGGCAAGUACUCUGUAAAUCUAGAUAGGUCAAGUUUAGCAGAGGGGAGACAAGGUCGGUGACAAAGUACUUCUUGGUUCCAAAAGGAACUGAUUUAAAGAGCCCAUAAGCAGAGUUAUGGAGGGUUUGCAGGAUGGAGUGAUGUUGCAUGAAGGUUCUCCAAACAUGCAGCACAGCUUUAAAAAAAACGUGUUCCACAUGUAGGACAAAUAAGCAAAAAACUUAAAGUAGAGCAAGCGUUACUGAGGGAGUAUAUGUCAACUGAUGCUGCUUUUAGUUACCAUAGAAGUAUCUACUUUGCCUCACAGCCCUAAGCCCUGAAUUUUGGAACUGUGCUUCUAAAAUGGCUUCAUCACUAGGUAGCAAAAUAACCCUCUUUUUUUCACCUCCCCUUUCUGAAGGGUAGCCUUCUGACAGCAAAUUCAAGCCUAGGAGCAAAGGGAAGGAAUCAGAUUUACUUUCACCAUAAAAACCUCAUUUUUAAAUGUAACUCAAGCU